GGUGAGAUGGCCGAGCGGUCUAAGGCGCCAGGUUCAGGUUCUGAACCAUACUUCCUGGUCAAGAAAUUGGCGUGGGUUCGAAUCCCACUCUCAUCA